rnacentral:rRNA from 1 species
GAUGAACGCUAGCGGCAGGCUUAACACAUGCAAGUCGAGGGGCAGCAUAAUGGAUAGCCAUAUCUAUGGUGGCGACCGGCGCACGGGUGCGUAACGCGUAUGCAACCUACCUUUAACAGGGGGAUAACACUGAGAAAUUGGUACUAAUACCCCAUAAUAUCAUAGAAGGCAUCUUUUAUGGUUGAAAAUUCCGAUGGUUAGAGAUGGGCAUGCGUUGUAUUAGCUAGUUGGUGGGGUAACGGCUCACCAAGGCGACGAUACAUAGGUGGACUGAGAGGUUAACCCCACACACUGGUACUGAGACACGGACCAGACUCGUACGGGAGGAAGAAGUGAGGAAUAUUGGUCGAUGGACGCAAGUCUGAACCAGCCAUGGCGCGUGCAGGAUGACGGCUCUAUGAGUUGUAAACUGCUUUUGUACGAGGGUAAACGCAGAUACGUGUAUCUGUCUGAAAGUAUCGUACGAAUAAGGAUCGGCUAACUCCGUG